rnacentral:rRNA from 1 species
UCCGUAGGCGGGCAAUUAAGUCAGAGGUGAAAUCCCACAGCUCAACUGUGGAACUGCCUUUGAUACUGGUUGUCUUGAGUUAUAGUGAAGUAGAUAGAAUAUGUAGUGUAGCGGUGAAAUGCAUAGAUAUUACAUAGAAUACCGAUCGCGAAGGCAGUCUACUAACUGUAUACUGACGCUAAUGGACGAAAGCGUGGGGAGCGAACAGGAUUAGAUACCCUGGUAGUCC